rnacentral:sRNA from 1 species
CUGGUGGGAGAACAAAAUCAAGGCCGAAGCCUCAGAUCAGGUAAAGCAUGGGCAGCAGCAGAGUAAGCUUUACACACAUCCCAUCCCAGUGCACGUCAGUCCUGACCUGGAGGGACCAGGAGUUUGGAUUCUGUGGCCCAUUUAGCCCUUAGGUUCA